GUGCGCGCGUGUGUGUGCGUGUGGACCUGCAAUGAUAACCUUUGGCUGACUUGGCCGUGCUCUCACACAAAAACAAAAUUGAAAGUGUUCAUACGGCUGGCACCCGAACCACACCCAACGGCCUCAGAUGUGGAGACAAGAUAUCAAGUUUGGUUGGCAAAACAGCAGUUCCCAAGAACUACAUUUAUCUAGCCUGAGAAAGAAUGCAAGCUCCGGGAAGGAAAAACAUACAAAGUAGGCUCUCGAACACUGGGGAGAGGAGUUAUGCAACACAGAAAAAGAAAAAGAGAGAGC